AUCUCUUUAUAUGACUUUGGUUUGUUGUUUUGGAAUUUUCCUUUUCUCCUGAUGGUGUGGCACUAGGACCCAGCGCUGACUGAAAUCAAGGACACAACCACCACAUAAGAAGCUUACAGUAUUUAAUCUGCAUGGCCUAAAAACACCACACACACACACACACACACACACACACACACACACACACACACACACACACACACACACACACACACACACACACACACACAGCUCAUAAUUCCACAGGUUUGGACUGAAUUGCAGUCACAUUUGUAUCCGUUGCUGUUGUUCAUGUUCUUCUAGAUGUUGUUUUUGUCAUUCUGAUAAAGGUCUGGAGCUUCUGUAUGAUGACUCUGCAGUAUAGUGUGAGUUAGACAGUGAAACUGCAGUGACGUGUGUGAAAGCUUCUCUGGUGUCUCGUAUCGAGGUUUUGCAGUGCUGUGAACUCAGUCCUGGUGUUUUCUGUAGAAUCUCAUCACGGCCUCCAGCACAGAGUGAGAAAGCACCUGUAGAUCUGACUGGAGCUGAACGUUCACCACAUUAGCAAAGCUGCUCCAUUCUGAAACUGGAGCGUACUUUGAUCUCAGACUCUUCAAGCCUCAGAGCAGAACCCUGGUGUUCCUGUCUCUCAAACAGCAGAUCAUGGCGCUAGCAACACCAAAGUCAUGGGUUCAAUUCCCAUGGAUCCAUGAUAACGUAUUCCCAACUAACAGGAAACAUUCUCUGAAUGUUCUGGCAAAGUUAUGAAUAAAAUUCUUACUGUAACAUUAAGAGAACAUCUAUUAUUGUUCUCAAAAUGAUAGCACAGAAACAUUAUACAUUGUUUUUAUUUCUGAAACAUUUUAGUUGGAAGUUCAUCAAACAUUUUUUAAAUGUUGCUACUUGUUUCAGAAAGUUCAGAGAACAUUCAAAAGUAACGUUCCCUUGAUGAAACACUUUAACGUUUCUAAAACAUUUUUAAAAAUGGACACUGUGAACAUUCAGAAAUAGCAUUUUCAUAACUUAAGGGGAACGCUAUUUUUGUUAGCUGUGUAUACAUACCUUGAAUGCAAUGCAGUUUGGGUAAAAAAGCAUCUGCUAAUGCAUCAAUGUAAAUGUGUCUGAGAGUAACAGAGCGGUGACUUUACAUUUAUGCAUUUGGCAGAUGCUUUUAUCUUGAAUAACUUGCACUGCAUUCAAGGCUUACAUCAGUUGAUCAGUUCAUACAUCCCUGGGAAUCGAACCUAUGACCUUGCGUUGCGAGCGCCAUGUUUGAGCCAGGGUAACGUUUGCUCAAAAUGUUCAAACAUCAUCUGUGUAAAUCUCUCUCUAACACCCUAUCAUGGUAUUUACAGCAGUGGAUAUACACACACACACACACAGUUCAGCCGAUUUGUCAUAAUAUGCUUUAUCUGAAAAGUAAGUAUCUUACCUCGGGAUAAAGAGGGGAAAGAGGCAUUUGUAGUGAGAUUGUGAGCAGAGAGACGUGGACAGACAGCGAGAGUGAAAGAGGACGAGAAACACACCUGAAUGAGACUUUAGUGUGCUUCUGAGAGGAGUUUGUGUUUCGGUGAUGUGGAUAGACAGAGAAAGAUAUUUGGAAGACACACACAGGGUUCCUCACACUGGAUUCUAGAUGUUUCUUCUUCAAUGCUCCCAGACGCUUCUAGUGUUUGAUUCAAGGAUAUUUUCAGGGUAUUUUUCCAAUUAUAUGUCACAUACAACUCAUAAAACAGCGCAACUGCCGAUUCUCCUCUUCAAGGCAAGACACCCCAGGUGAACAGGGUAAAGAAUUAACUAAUACACAUCAUCAUACUUCCCCAGUUGAUUGAUGACAUUAAGAAUUGCACACAUUUUAUUAUUACAAAUUUUCUGAGAUUUUAUGUGUGCAAACAAGACAAUAUUGAUUUCAAAUACUUAUGCACUAAUUUUCCUAAAUAUAAAUAUGAACACUGGAUAAAGGCAGGUUAAAAAUUCUUGCUUGAUUUUCUUUACAUAUUAGAGUUGACAAGAUUUUUACAAAAGAGAUUUUUUUAUUUCUCUUUUUAUCACUCCAUAAAUCAGAAAAUACUGUCAACAGACAGAAAACAAAUACAGUUUUCACAAUGUUUUUUGGAAUAAAAAGGUUCUGUAAAUUAGUGUGAAUGAUUUAUGAACAAACCCUUCAGUAAAAACCUUCAGAAUACAGAAAUUAAUAAAUCUCUAAGUUUUGGUGUAUGUAAGUGCUGCAGAAGUGAAGAAAAAUCUAUUAAAAGGUAUAUAUUGUAAAUGAAAUCUAGCGAUGCAAACAGAUAAAGUUUCAAAAAUGUUUAAAUUAAGUUAAAAAUGGAAUAGUUUAUAUUUGAUGUGUUUACUGAUUAUAUCCUGAUCAGUAAAUUUAUUUUAUAUGUACAUGUGGCUCUUUGUCAGUGCAACUGAAUCAGAACACAACUGAACCUGGAGCUCAAGUAGAGCUGUGAUGGUUUAUAAUAGACGCAUCACUGUCAGAAUAAAUCUGAGACUUUAUCUGUCCACUGUAACCCGCUUUACGCUUCCCUGAACUCUAAACAACCUGUGACUUAAAUGAACUGAGAAAUCCAAUGGAUCUAAACAUGGAGCAGAACUUCUGCAUCUCAACAGGGCUCUACUUGAUUCUCAGCUGAGAAUGACGUUUACAGUACAAUUAAUUUAUGCAAUUUGAGUUGAGGCAGCAAUUCUGCAACAUUAAAUUAAUGUAACAAAAUAGAAUUAAAAUUAACUGAAUUUUAAAGAAAUGCAUAUAAUAUGUAAUUUUAAAAAACUAUAUUGGAAUGUGGAUUUGAAAAAACAUUAUUUUUUAUUUCAUUUUUUUAAAGUCAUAGGACUUGAUUGAUAAAUAGAUAGGACUUAGAUCUUAAGUGUCAAGAGCAGAACAAUUUGAAGGCAAUAGUUUUUGUUUGUUUUUAUAAUUUGCUGAUAUGUAUUUGUUAAUGUAUUUGCUAAUCAUUAAAAAAAUAUAUAUAAACAAAAUCAAAACUUCUUUCAUGACUAAUGUUUUUUCCCCCUGGUAUUUCUGUGGGAGUUUUAAUGUUUUUUGUUGUUAUUGUUGUUGUUGUUUUGCAUAACAAUGUUGCAUAAAUCAGUGUGAAAGAUAUAUGAAUAAACUCCUCAGUUAAAACCUUCAGAAUAUAAAUAGGAAUAAAACUCUAAGUUUUGGUGUACAUAAGUGCUGCUGAAAUGGCGAAUAUUACAUAUAUUGCAAUUGAAAU
ensembl:lncRNA